rnacentral:rRNA from 1 species
AACUAACGCUGGCGGCGUGCCUAACACAUGCAAGUCGUACGAGAAAGUUGGCUUCGGCUGAUGAGUAAAGUGGCGCACGGGUGAGUAACGCGUGGAUAAUCUGCCUUUUAGUUGGGAAUAACGUACCGAAAGGUGCGCUAAUACCGGAUAAUACUGCAUAACUACUGUUGUGUAGUCAAAGAAGGCCUCUGUUUACAAGCUUUUGCUGAAAGAUGAGUCCGCGUACCAUUAGCUAGUUGGUAGGGUAAUGGCCUACCAAGGCUACGAUGGUUAGCUGGUCUGAGAGGAUGAUCAGCCACACUGGAACUGAGACACGGUCCAGACUCCUACGGGAGGCAGCAGUGAGGAAUAUUGCGCAAUGGGGGCAACCCUGACGCAGCAACGCCGCGUGAGUGAGGAAGGUUUUCGGACCGUAAAGCACUUUUUAAGGGAAUGAGAAAGGACAGUACCCUUAGAAUAAGUCUCGGCUAACUACGUG